rnacentral:snRNA from 1 species
UGCUGCUCUGGCAGCAUUAUACUAAAACUAGAAUGAUACAGAAGAUUAGCACAGUCCCUGCCUCUGACAGGCAUUUAUGAAGCCAAUUCCAAUAAUUU